UAGAGUUUGAUCCUGGCUCAGGAUGAACGCUGGCGGUCUGCUUAACACAUGCAAGUCGAACGCAACCUUCGGGUUGAGUGGCGGACGGGUGAGUAACGCGUGAGAAUCUGCCUUGGGGUCGGGGACAACCACUGGAAACGGUGGCUAAUACCGGAUAAGCCUUUGGGUAAAAGAUUUAUUGCCCCAAGAGGAGCUCGCGUCUGAUUAGCUAGUUGGUGAGGUAAAAGCUCACCAAGGCAGCGAUCAGUAGCUGGUCUGAGAGGACGAUCAGCCACACUGGGACUGAGACACGGCCCAGACUCCUACGGGAGGCAGCAGUGGGGAAUUUUCCGCAAUGGGCGAAAGCCUGACGGAGCAAGACCGCGUGAGGGAGGAAGGCUCUUGGGUUGUAAACCUCUUUUCUCAGGGAAGAAGCUCUGACGGUACCUGAGGAAUCAGCCUCGGCUAACUCCGUGCCAGCAGCCGCGGUAAUACGGAGGAGGCAAGCGUUAUCCGGAAUUAUUGGGCGUAAAGCGUCCGCAGGUGGCGAUUCAAGUCUGCUGUCAAAGCACGGGGCUUAACUCCGUUAAGGCAGUGGAAACUGAAUAGCUAGAGUGCCGUAGGGUAGAGGGAAUUCCCGGUGUAGCGUGAAAUGCGUA
rnacentral:rRNA from 1 species